CCUACAGGAGGCUGCAGUGGGGAAUAUUGCACAAUGGGCGCAAGCCUGAUGCAGCCAUGCCGCGUGUGUGAAGAAGGCCUUCGGGUUGUAAAGCACUUUCAGCGGGGAGGAAGGCGGUGAGGUUAAUAACCUCAUCGAUUGACGUUACCCGCAGAAGAAGCACCGGCUAACUCCAUGCCAGCAGCCGCGGUAAUACGGAGGGUGCAAGCGUUAAUCGGAAUUACUGGGCGUAAAGCGCACGCAGGCGGUCUGUCAAGUCGGAUGUGAAAUCCCCGGGCUCAACCUGGGAACUGCAUUCGAAACUGGCAGGCUAGAGUCUUGUAGAGGGGGGUAGAAUUCCAGGUGUAGCGGUGAAAUGCGUAGAGAUCUGGAGGAAUACCGGUGGCGAAGGCGGCCCCCUGGACAAAGACUGACGCUCAGGUGCGAAAGCGUGGGGAGCAAACAGGAUUAGAUACCCGAGUAGUC
rnacentral:rRNA from 1 species